rnacentral:lncRNA from 1 species
AGACACACCAGGCCGCCAUGUUGUGUAAGGUUAGUCUCUCAGCCUCCGCGAGAAGAAGGCGAAAAAUGGGGAGGAGCAGCCUGGUUACUUUCAAACGAGAAAGAACGGAUAUGUUAAGCGUGGAGGGCUCCUAAUGGUAGCGGUUUGAUUUUCAGUGAGUUUGGCGCGGUGGAGACGUCACCGCGGUCUAACAGUUCCGACGUGGUGGCGUCAUCACUGGCCGCCGUAGGAGGUGGAGCUACGUUGGCCUCGUGACCGGGCCCUGUAGCGGAAGCCCAGGUCAAGGCCCUAACAAAAGGGCCCGCCUAUGGCCACAGUUUCAGGCCCUCCUUUCAGUCAUGGACUGUUGAAGCACGAUUUCCUGGUGCUUUCGCCCCUUUCACCGACCAUUUCAAGAGUCCGUAGUUCUCGCCUGGGUUUGGAUUCGGUAUAAGUGAGCCUGUUUACCAUCAAAGAAAAUGGUGAAAUGUCUUCUGGAGACGAUGUUCUCUUCUGGUUCUAACCCUGUCACUCAGUGAGACCCCCAGAGAAGCCUAGUUUUCAGAUUAUUCUAGUCCUUGGCAGGCUCAAGAUGUCAACAACACGGUUGGAAACAACCCCUGAGAGGUCACAUAGCGCGCACUCAGCUUUACAGAUCGUCCAAGGCAGCGACCCCUGAGAGGUCACAUAGCGCGCACUCAGCUUUAUAGAUCGUCCAAGGCAGCAAUUAGAAUCAGCAACUCGGAGAGGAAAAAAAGCUGUUAGCGGAAUGGAGGCUGACCAUUAUCUGUAGUAAAGAAUCGGAAGUACAGUACAAAAAUAAAUUACCGAAACGCAACAUGCGUGAAUUUCACACAAAAAAAUGAAGUUGAGGGAAAGAAGCCAGACAUGGAAGAGUUCAUAUUGCGUGGUUCCAUUUAAAAACUAGCCCAUGGUGUUAAUGAGCAUAGUGGGGAGGACAAUGACAUGAAAGAGCCACCAGGGGGCUUUUGAGGUUCAGGAUCCCCAGCCAGUGAGCCUAAAAUGGGUAGAAGGAAAAGAUAUUUCUUACCCUACGCACCCAGGUCCAAGUCAUCAUUAUUUUGUCUGAAAUUUAUCUUCCUAACUGAUUUCUCUGCUUCCCCAUUGUGCCUUAAGAGUUAGUUUUCCACAGAGCAGCUCGAGAUAUCUUUUCAGAUCAUUAUAUCCCUUUGCUUAAAAACCUCUAACAGCUUCCUAUUAGGCUUAGAAUAAAGUACAAACUCCUUAAUGUGAACUUGAGUGUUUUACGUAUCUUAUCUCACCUUUAUGAGCUUCAUGUCAGAACCCAUCUCUCACCACUCUUCCUUCCCCGCUCCCUGAUUUAAACAGUCUGGCACUUUACUUAUUCAUUGAACCCACUGGGUUUGCUCUUGCCUCCAAGUCUGUACCCAGCUUUCUCUCUACCUGUAAUCCUCUUCCUCUAGGUCAUCACACAGAUCGUUUCUUCACUCUAUUUAGGUCUUUCAGAAGUAACACUAAGGGAGGCUUUUCCAGACAAUAUUAUGCAAAUAUAAAUGGACAUGUGACAAAUACUUUAUUCGACUUAUUAGUUACUGAGAGUGUAUUUGAGUAGCCAGGUAUUUAUAGGCAAUUUAACAAUGUAAUGUUAGUAUAAGGUGGCAAGGUUAGAUAUAAACCUGUUAAUGUCUCACAGGGUAAUAAACUAUAACUUUUGGUGUUAUCUGUUCCACUGGAAAGGAAGUAGGGAUUUGCAUUCUUACUGGACAAAAAUCUACAAGUUAAUGUAUAGAUUCAGUAUAGGACUUUUAAAUCAAUAGUGAACGAUGAAAUGAACAAAGUACAAUCCCCUAGUCCUUGGUUUGACACUGAAAGGACAUGCCACUCACCUUUUUGCCUUGUUUCCAAAGUUUGGAAUAAUUUUCCUUUCAAAAUGAAAUUAUUUCUCAUUCAGUUGUCCUAUUGCAGGCAGCCUUUACUGCUUCCCCCAGUUAAUGUACCUGUCAAGCUUACUCAUGAUUUCCUAACUGCCAAAUUCAAUGGAUAUUUUUAAUUUUUUUUUUGCUAUGACUCAUACUGUUCCCUUCGGGCUUGUCAGCAGAUAAAUGACCUUCUGGGGACUGUGCAAAAUAUGGAAUGCUUAAUGAAUUUGUGUGUUAUUCUU